AAUCCGCUUCUGCUCGGGAGUUAUGCCAGGUUUUUGAAAGAGAUUAAAGGGGAUUUUGCCAAAGCUGAGGAGUACUGCGGGAGAGCAAUUUUAGCAAAUCCAAAUGAUGCUGUUAUUUUGUGUCUCUAUGCCCUUCUAAUUUGGGAAAACCAAAAGGAUUCUCAUAGAGCAGAAAGUUACUUUAAUCAAGCUGUUAAUACUUCCCCUGAUGACUGUUUUGUCCUGACGUCAUACGCAAAAUUUCUGUGGGAUGUCGAAGAAGAAGAAGAAACUGAGCAUAUCAAUAU